UAGGGAAUCUUCCACAAUGGACGCAAGUCUGAUGGAGCAACGCCGCGUGAGUGAAGAAGGUUUUCGGAUCGUAAAGCCCUGUUGUUGGUGAAGAAGGAUAGAGGUAGUAACUGGCCUUUAUUUGACGGUAAUCAACCAGAAAGUCACGGCUAACUACGUGCCAC
rnacentral:rRNA from 1 species